rnacentral:tRNA from 1 species
GGCCUAUCAUGUCGGCCUGUCACGCCGACGACUCGGAUUCGAAUUCCGACCUGGGCG